UUCAGCUAACGACGUGAGCAAUGUGCACAGCGGAUCACCAGUAAGAUCACUGCUUGAGGAGAGGUCAACAUCGGGAAAGAGCUCAAACUGUUCGGGACCAGGAACUGCCAAGACUGACAAAAGAUACUGUGUACCUGGCUUUUUCCGCUUCGUUCAUCAAGCAGCAGGGAUAUAUUCUUGUCACUGCAAUACUAUGGGCACUGAAAACAACGCGAGAAAGGUUCCUCUGAGAAGAAGUCUGAAACUCCGGGACAAAAUGACAUUCCAGUUAUCAACAUU